rnacentral:rRNA from 1 species
GAAAUCUGGCCGUCUGGCCCGAGUUGUAAUUUGCAGAGGAUGUCUCGGGUGCGACUCCGGUUUAAGUUCCUUGGAACAGGACGUCAUAGAGGGUGAGAAUCCCGUAUGCGACCGGCCGUCAACCCCGUGCGAGGCUCCUUCGACGAGUCGAGUUGUUUGGGAAUGCAGCUCUAAAUGGGUGGUAAAUUUCAUCUAAAGCUAAAUACCGGCCAGAGACCGAUAGCGCACAAGUAGAGUGAUCGAAAGAUGAAAAGCACUUUGGAAAGAGAGUUAAAAAGCACGUGAAAUUGUUGAAAGGGAAGCGCUUGCAACCAGACUUGCCCGCGGGUGAUCAACUGUCCUUCGGGGCGGUGCACUCGCCCGCGAACAGGCCAGUAUCGGUUUUGGCGGUCGGAUAAAGGCGGCGGGAACGUAGCUCCCCCCGGGGAGUGUUAUAGCCCGUCGUGCAAUGCGAUCAGUCGGGACCGAGGACCGCGCUUCGGCUAGGAUACUGGCGUAAUGGUUGUAAGCGACCCGUCUUGAAACACGGACCAAGGAGUCUAACAUCUAUGCGAGUGUUUGGGUGUCAAACCCAUGCGCGCAAUAAAAGUGAACGGAGGUGGGAACCUUUCGGGGGGCACCAUCGACCGAUCCUGAUGUCUUCGGAUGGAUUUGAGUACGAGCAUAGCUGUUGGGACCCGAAAGAUGGUGAACUAUGCGUGAAUAGGGUGAAGCCAGAGGAAACUCUGGUGGAGGCUCGCAGCGGUUCUGACGUGCAAAUCGAUCGUCAAAUUUGCGUAUAGGGGCGAAAGACUAAUCGAACCAUCUAGUAGUGGUAGGCUGGUUACUAGAGAUACAUCAAGGGACACGGUCCCUGUAGUCCGCUGUUCCGAUAGCGAGGCGACAUCGUCGGUCUUCGGGGAUCCCCUCCCAGGGCGAUCCGAAAUGGGUACCCGCCCAUUCACAGGCUAAGUGACGGUGGCCGCGCCCCCCCGGGGCUCGCGGUUAGGAGAUAGUCGCCGGCCCCCUUUAACGGAGGUCCGCGUGGGAGCUGGUUCCUGCCGAAGUUUCCCUCAGGAUAGCAGUAACGUUUUCAGUUUUAUGAGGUAAAGCGAAUGAUUAGAGGCCUUGGGGCAGAAACUGCCUUAACCUAUUCUCAAACUUUAAAUAUGUAAGAAGUCCUUGUUACUUAGUUGAACGCGGACAUUUGAAUGCACCGUUACUAGUGGGCCAUUUUUGGUAAGCAGAACUGGCGAUGCGGGAUGAACCGAACGCGAGGUUAAGGUGCCGGAAUAUACGCUCAUCAGACACCACAAAAGGUGUUAAUUCAUCUAGACAGCCGGACGGUGGCCAUGGAAGUCGGAAUCCGCUAAGGAGUGUGUAACAACUCACCGGCCGAAUGAAUUAGCCCUGAAAAUGGAUGGCGCUCAAGCGUGUUACCUAUACCUCGCCGCCAGGGUAGAUACGAUGCCCUGGCGAGUAGGCAGGCGUAGGGGUCCGUGACGAAGCCUUGGGG